AGCCAGUACACCCGUCUGGCUAAGCUCUUUGCCAGAUCACUGCAGUCUGUCCUAUCUUCUGUCUUUCAUUAAAUCUCUUCUUAUCUCCCUCUGUAUUUGCAUCCGCUGUCGUGUGUAUGUGAAGCUGCAAGGACUACGUGCCAACUACUAGUGAUACCUGGAUGUGGGGUCUGGAAGACAGGAACAAAGGAGUUCCUGCUGAGAUCCCAAAGUCAGAAGCUGUCACUUCAAAAGAGCAGACUCAACCACUCUGGACUAUAAGAGUUUGUCCUGUUGUUGGUAGUUGACAACUAAACAACUCAACCUCUGAUGACACAUCACUACUGAAGAUCAGCACCUGACACCAAGACAUCAUCACUGGACUGAGGAGUGACAGCAAUAUCACAUUUGGAAGACCGCUGACUCUCAGAACACUCAGAGCCCUGCCUGGAAACUUCUAUAAUUGUCUUCAGAAUCACAAGAUGACCAGCAUUAAGAGGGACCUCCCUGCUCAAGCAGAGAUGCCUGGACCAUGUCUAGACAGGCUUUUGAAGAUCUCCAAGGAAAAAACCACAACUUCACUGGGUAAACCAUUCCAGCAUUUCCAAUGAACAAGACUGGACAGAUAAGUAUUUUUAAAGUAUCAGCAAUUCUACAUCAUUUUGGAUGAUGGUAAGGCCUGAAAUCAUCAACUGGAAAAAAUGCAGAAAAAACAUCUGUGUUCUCACAUACUGAAAAGAUACAUUAAUGCACUAACUGUUGAUUGCUUUAAAGAAUUAGCCUCUUAAUUCAGAAAAACAAAAAUCCCUCUAUCCGAACUUUUGCUUGCAUAAGAUGUUAUAAAAAUAAAGGAAAGCAGAAAUUUCAGACUCAAAAAACUGCUCCUGCUGUCCCUGUGUUGUAUGUCUGUAAUAUCUCUUUGCUUAACAUUGUAGAUAUUCAUUGUAGAAUACUACGUUUUUAUUACUCUGUAGAGUUUUUUUAAGUUCUGAAAACACUUUUAUUUAAGUCUAAUUUUCUGUAAAACGUAAAUAAUUAUGUACUUUUCAUUUGAAGAAAGACAGGAAACUGAAAUGUGAAAAUCUUAUUAUGAAAUCAAUGAUAGUGAAAAUACUAUAAAAUUCACACCAGUAAAAUUGUUAUUAAAAUUACAAUAUCACAAUAACUGAGAAGCUGACUAUAGUGCAAUCCACUUUAUUGUCUUUUUUUAUUGCUGCCAUUAGGUUAGCAGGAAAUAGAGUGCAAUAAGGUAUAACAGUUGGCUGUUAGCAAGGAGUUGAUGUAAGAGCAAUGCAUGAAUUCAGUGGAAAAGUACUUAACUUUUUAAACUUCUUUUUAUACUUAUUAUUAUAAAACUAACUAUUGCUGCACCAUCUAAAUCCUUCUGCAAUAAUUUCCCACUGGCUGAAGCAAAAUCCACUGCUGAGAGCAAAAUCAUCUGACUCUUUGAAAGCUGCCUUGAUGCUGAACACACACAACAUACAGAAUUCCAGCAGAUGUUUUCAGUUUCUGGGAUUAAGGAAACUUUACAUUAAUGUCUUCCAGGGGCAUUAUUUACAAAACCUGGCAUCCUCCAGCUUCACUGGGGUCUGAGGUCAGCAAGAAAAUAAUAUGAAAAAAAUCAUCCUUGUUAAUCACAAACAAGUAAACCAAACUCUGAGAAUGCAGUAUUUAUACCACUGUAUAAAAUGUUGUUUCUACUGUGCAGCAAAUAGAAAGCUAUUUGCCAUCAUGGAUUUUUGAACUGUACUUUUUGUAACCCAAACAUACAGUGUAAUCAUAUGUUAUAUAAUGAAAAUUUGAAUACAUGUAUUACUAAAAAUAGCAAGAAUUAUCAUGAAAAUAUUUUAAAACUAUACUUCUGAAACUCUAAUAGGAAGCAAAAUUCUUUGCAUAGAUCCUCAUAAUAUAAGCAUGGUUUUUCCCCCUUAAAUUUAGCUUUAGUCAGGGUACAAGAAAUAUAAAUACUUCCAUGUUAAACACGUUAUCAUAACAAAUUUGUGAGCCAACUGGUUAUGAAGAGUAAUGUCUGCCACGGGUUAAUGCAGAUGAGUCUCAGUAACAAAACAGAAAAUUGUAGCUUAUUCUCAUUAUAAGACAUUUUUCAUAAAAUGUCCGUAGUAAUAAAAUUUAUUGUUUGUUUCUAGAUGUACUUUCAGUAUCUGGAGAAAUGGAAUGGAGUAUAGAAGGCAAAAAGAGUCUGCAGAACAUUGCUUUCCCCAGAAAAUUUAGUUUUGGGAAACUAAGAAGUUGUGACUUUGUAAAGGCAUUGCCAUGAAUACUAAGUACUGCUCUUGUCUGCCAAGUGACUGGUCCUGAACUGAAAGCAAAAAGCCAAAAAGAUAUGGAUUUACUCAUACCUUUCGUAAAAAAAAAAAAAAAAAAAAAAAGUCUUUGAUUAAAUGGAAAAAAAUAGAUAAGGGAACUAGUUUAUGCAAAUCAUAACUAUGUUUCUACAAAUUAAACAAAAUAUCCAUGGACAGGAUAUAUAUCCCCCACCUUGUAGGUUUGCCUAGCUUUCUGAAUGUUUGUUCACAUGACUUCCUCUUUAUUUUGAAAGGUAAUUAGUCAUUUAAUUGGCAUCAGUUGCAUUUCAUUAUUUCCAAAAGAUUUGUGUUUUUCUCCUGCCUAGAAUGUCAUUCCAAAUAUGUCUAGGUAUACAGGGCAUUAGGAUUUCCAUCUAAGAUCAUCAGACCUCACAACAAAACUGUGUGUCAUCUGCAGCAGGAUGGGUAACAACUAUUACCCACUUUUUACAUGGUGCUUUUGCAUUCAAAAACAGAUUCUGGCUCCUAAGCAAACUGAUGGAGACUGAAUCUUUUUGGAUCCUGAAUGCUCAGACAUAAUUGUUAUUUUCAGCCAAGGAAAGAACCUACGUCAGUCAGACUAAACCGUCCGAGACCACUGUCUCCACUAACCAUAUAGGAAAUGCACAGUUUUGUACAGCACAAUGGAUUAUCCCCAACACCAGAGCCCAGCUACCUAAGCUCCAAGUGAGACAAUGCCUAGUUUAGCAAGUUAGGUAAGGUGUAUUCCAAACUGCAUUUCUUUUGUGACAUUCUUUUUCAUGUGGUUCUUCUGUUAAUUAAAACUCAGAGCUGUACACUAUAUGGUCUUAUAGAAGUUGAAGGAGUUCAUUUUCAUUUUACUACUCAAUGAAUGAAAAUCAGCAGCUCAAUUCAGUGUUAGCAGAAAAAGAACAGCAUACAAAUACAAGGUCCCCUCUAAAAUACGUGUUAGAAAGGUAAGGAAAGAUGAGGAGGGAGGGAUUCUUUAUCAGGGAGUGUAGUGACAGGACAAGGGGAAAUGGUCUUAAACUAAAAAAGGGAACAUUCAGGUUAGAUGUUAGGAGGAAAUUCUUUACCUAGAAGUUAGUGAGGCACUGCUAUGUGCUGCCCAAAGAAGCUGUGGGUGUCCCAUCCCUGGAGGUGUUCAAGGACAUAUUGGAUGAGGCCCUUGAACAGCUUGAUCCUGUGGGUAGCGAUCUCGCCCAUGGCAAGUUGUUGGAACUGGAUGGGCUUUCAGGUCCCUUCAAACUCAAACCAUUCUGUUAUCCUUUGCUAUGCUUACAGACUGUAUGAGGAAGGCAACAAAGAUUUGAACACAUGGAUUUAUUUCAUUUUGUAUGAAAUAUAUCACAUUACUGCACAGGACAGAAUGCACCCAAUAGCUUAUCAAAGCCAUAAACAUGUGUAAAGGAAUCUAAACUACUCCUAAUUUCUCUGAGACUGACAAGCAAAGUAUCCUAAGGCAAAUAGCAAAAAUUCAAAUUUAAAACAGGGAAGUCAAAAAACAUAAAAAUAUAAAGGUUGCAAAUCUAGACAAAGGGAGAACAGCAAAAAAGUGGAGUAAAAAAAAAAGAAAUAAAGAUUCCCAGUUUGGAUCUUUUCUCAUUUUAUUCAUCUGCUACAUGUAGAGCUUUUAUUUUACUCAUAUCUCCUAAAACACUCAUCUCACAAAAAUCAAAAACUAUCUGGAACAUAAAGAAAAAGCACAGGGGAAGGAAAUGAGAGCACUAAUACUUGCAUGACAUUGAGGGCUCUUAAUUCUCAUUAGAUGUUGUGUGGAUCAAAGAUUUUCCCAGAUAUUUGUACUACAAAUUCCUCUAAAAUCAAAGUCCUGUAUGAUUCCUUGUCCUGAAGUAACCACUGAAAAUUCUCCUUGGUUUCAAAGUUUUCGCUACUCAAGAAUGAAUUGUAUUCAGGUAAAAGUGUAUUCAGAUAAAAGCUUCCUAAAGUAUGUUAUUUUUGUAAAGAACUGCAUGGGUCAGGUUAUAAGCCAAGGCUUUAAUGUAAUUACUUAUUUUUUUAAUAGCUACCAGCUGAAAAUAGUCUUAAUGUUUUUUAAGUUAAUGAGCAUUCAACUGAGGUCUCUUGUACAACAAGUACAACAAGAACAUGUAAAUACAGUAAACCUUUUCCCUGAGCUUCCAGUUGAGAGCUAUUAUCUUUGUCAGUAGCUGACAGCAAUUGAUUUACUGUGAUCUCAACACUAAUUAUGCCUAUAGGGGGUAACUGCACUGAUAAAUUACUAUUUACCUUCUCAUGUGGAUUCCAAAUAACAUGAUCAUACUUUUUCAAAUAGCUCUGUCUCUUGAUAACAGCCUCAUGUGCCUGUGUGAAAGUAUAAAGAACAGACCAAUUCUGAGUAUUAUUAUUAGUUAUUUCACAGUUUAAAGUGGUGAUGGACUUUGAAUAAUUUGAACAAAGGAUCCAUGCUGUGAUACAACAGGUGAUUAUUUUUUCUUCUCCAAGGUCAAUUCAGAAAGGGUAAAUAACUAUAGGCUACUGGUGCACAGUACCUAUUAAGACAAUACGAUGAGGCUGCAAAAGUCUGAACAGUGAAUUCUGAAUUGCUUAAUGAUUUUUUUUAAUUCAAAUUCAAAUCACAGUUGAGCCCGAAGUAUAAUGCUUGAGCUCCAGGAGAGCAAAUCUGCUUGAGGGAGGAUGCUCAAAAGCAAGAAAGCUAAGUUCUACUGUAAUAGGUGCUUUGAAAAUCUACAGUAAGAUGACCUUACUUUUUGGUACUUUUAGCUAAAAAUUAAGAUUGACUUUAUAUCCUUUGACAUAAUAUCAUAAAAAUCUAUUCAUUACCAGAACACACAACUACUGUAUGUAUCAAGAGUGUAGCUUGAGAGACAGUGUACAAAAGAGAAUGUUUCAGUUGAAAUUCAGGAACCAUUUCGGCAAUUGGGUUAGUUGUUAGCAUAUCUGUGAACUUCUGAGUCGGGUAUUACUCUAAUCAGCCUUUAGCUGACCUUUGGCCAAAAUACUGCCAGUUAAGAAAACUUCAAAAUCAAAAUUAUGCAAGGAAAGUUAAAACAAUGUUAAGAGCUAUGAACAUCACAAGAAUUCCUUCCAAAAUUUCAGGCAAAAGUGCAAUCUGAUAGGCACAAAUAUUGUAAUAAUCUUUUAGAAAACGUGUAUAGCAUUAGAAAAGACAGAACAACAUCAGGAACAGCAACGUAAAACAAUGUGGGAGCAAAAGCAAAGAACCUGCAGAUUUCACUCCUGAAACUACCUGAUCCUAAAUUUUCUGACACAUUACAGAUUUGAUUUUUGUAUAUUUCUAGUAUAACUAUUAAUAAGGAUAAGCCAGAAGAUUAUUUGUGGGUUGAUUAAAAAUAAUAAUGUUCUGGGGGAAAAGCCUGUUUCCUAUCUAUCUAAAGUCUAACUAGAAUCUUACCUCAAAUAUUGUAUUUCUAAACAGGUAAAGCUACCUGUAAGAUAUAACAAUCAGUACUUGCUGGAGAAUAUUUCUUUUUUUUUUUUAAAUCUAUGCAUGACAUACUGCUAAUGUAGCCAACACGUUUUGUGUCUGCUCAAAGAAAUAUAGCAAAUUUAAAUGCUCCAGGGUUAAUUUUCAUGGCUAUUGUACACUGCCAUUAUGCUGUUCCUAUUUUCUUUCUCCAUGUAAUCACACAAAAUAUUUCCACAAAUUGUAACAGAAGUGAUGAUUAACAUCAUAUGAAAAACUAGAAUUUCAACAUGGAAUACUUAAUGUUUGUGACAGAAAUGAGUGACUUAAUGAGAAGUGUUUACCUCCAGUAAGCUAUUAAGAUCGUCAUACCUCCAACACAUACAAUUACAUCAUCUAGUAAAUAAAGAAAAGCAUUCUUUAAACGAUGGGAGUAAGCAGCAGAAAGGAAGAACUUUAUCAGUGCUUAAUGAAGAGCCUGGCCUAUUUUAAGUGCAAAUAAAAUACUUAUGGAUCUCUAACUUCAAUAAAGCAUCCAAACUAUGCAUA